AUUGAACGCUGGCGGCAUGCCCUACACAUGCAAGUCGAACGGCAGCAUGAUCUAGCUUGCUAGAUUGAUGGCGAGUGGCGAACGGGUGAGUAAUACAUCGGAACGUGCCCUGUAGUGAGGGAUAACUAGUCGAAAGAUUAGCUAAUACCGCAUACGACCUGAGGGUGAAAGUGGGGGACCGCAAGGCCUCAUGCUAUAGGAGCGGCCGAUGUCUGAUUAGCUAGUUGGUGGGGUAAAGGCCCACCGAGGCGACGAUCAGUAGCUGGUCUGAGAGGGCGAUCAGCCACACUGGGACUGAGACACGGCCCAGACUCCUACGGGAGGCAGCAGUGGGGAAUUUUGGACAAUGGGCGAAAGCCUGAUCCAGCAAUGCCGCGUGUGUGAAGAAGGCCUUCGGGUUGUAAAGCACUUUUGUCCGGAAAGAAAUGGCUCUGGUUAAUACCUGGGGUCGAUGACGGUACCGGAAGAAUAAGGACCGGCUAACUACGUGCCAGCCGCCGCCGUAA
rnacentral:rRNA from 1 species